CCUACGGGAGGCAGCAGUGGGGAAUAUUGCACAAUGGGGGAAACCCUGAUGCAGCGACGCCGCGUGAGUGAAGAAGUAUUUCGGUAUGUAAAGCUCUGUCAGCAGGGAAGAAAAUGACGGUACCUGACCAAGAAGCCCCGGCUAACUACGCGCCAGCAGCCGCGGUAAUACGUAGGGGGCAAGCGUUAUCCGGAUUUACGGGGUGUAAAGGGAGCGUAGACGGCAGGGCAAGUCUGGAGUGAAAGGCGGGGGCUCAACCCCCGGACUGCCCUUGAAACUGGCAGGCUGGAGUGCAGGAGAGGUGGGUGGAAUUCCUGGUGUAGCGGUGAAAUGCGUAGAGAUUAGGAGGAACACCAGUGGCGAAGGCGGCUUACUGGACUGUAACUGACGUUGAGGCUCGAAAGCGUGGGGAGCAAACAGGAUUAGAUACCCGAGUAGUC
rnacentral:rRNA from 1 species